CCAGCAAACCCUAAGCAAUAUUCUCAAACCUUCUCCCAUCAAUCAAAAACACUCCUAAAAGCAAAUCAAACAACUUCAACAUGGAGAAAACCAUGGCAAUUAUGGAAUUAUGAUUUCUUCGCUAAUUUGCUUCUCGGAUAAGAACUUCACCUUGAAGGAACUUGGAUUUUGGAGUGAUUUUGAUCAUCUAAGGACAUCAUCCGUAAGACGUUCGAGGACUCGGGGAAAUGUAUAUAACUCCAUCGACGAGGCACGGUAGAUGGAUUAUUGUACCUUUCUCAGUGGGAUACCAAAGUUCAGCAGGGAUGUUCGCACUCCAUUCUCCAGAGUUGCUAGUCAGAGUCAUUAAAUAGGAUGCAUGCAUAUAUACAUAGAGAGUAUGGCUAUGGCUACGUCGAGGCCACUGUCCCGACCAGUUGAUGUAUAUUAGUGCUCUUAGAGGCUUACAAAUUAUCAGUUAGUGUACAGGUAUUGUGUCAGGCCUUGCCGGCCUUCUAACUAGUUGUCUUUCUUGGUUGUGGCCUUG